CGUGAUGUGACUGUACUCAUUGUACAAGGUAGAUGCAGUUUGCCAAGUUGUUAGUUCAGCUAGUGAAAUGACAGUAGAAAGAAAUGACUCUUUGAGGUUAAGGAUCCAGAGCAAGAAGAAGAGACAUUCUUGCUUACACUAAAGGUGAAACCUCGCCUUGAAAUCUUUGUGUGUUCCAGAUUGAACUACUUCCUGAAAAGAAGACCUCUAUCCACCAUCUGUUGGAUGUCUCAAAGGAAGAAGUGGUUAUAAAGUAAGAAUCUUUAGUGCCACAUCUAUGACAGCUGCCUGGCAAGUACAGCUGUCCAUAUAUGAGCUCCCAACAGAG
ensembl:lncRNA